rnacentral:rRNA from 1 species
ACGCUGGCGGCGUGCUUAACACAUGCAAGUCGAACGAAGCACUUUAACCUGAUUCUUCGGAUGAAGGUUUUUGUGACUGAGUGGCGGACGGGUGAGUAACGCGUGGGUAACCUGCCUCAUACAGGGGGAUAACAGUUAGAAAUGACUGCUAAUACCGCAUAAGACCACGGAGCCGCAUGGCUCAGUGGGAAAAACUCCGGUGGUAUGAGAUGGACCCGCGUCUGAUUAGGUAGUUGGUGGGGUAACGGCCUACCAAGCCAACGAUCAGUAGCCGACCUGAGAGGGUGACCGGCCACAUUGGGACUGAGACACGGCCCAAACUCCUACGGGAGGCAGCAGUGGGGAAUAUUGCACAAUGGGGGAAACCCUGAUGCAGCGACGCCGCGUGAGCGAAGAAGUAUUUCGGUAUGUAAAGCUCUAUCAGCAGGGAAGAAAAUGACGGUACCUGACUAAGAAGCACCGGCUAAAUACGUGCCAGCAGCCGCGGUAAUACGUAUGGUGCAAGCGUUAUCCGGAUUUACUGGGUGUAAAGGGAGCGUAGACGGCUGUGUAAGUCUGAAGUGAAAGCCCGGGGCUCAACCCCGGGACUGCUUUGGAAACUAUGCAGCUAGAGUGUCGGAGAGGUAAGUGGAAUUCCCAGUGUAGCGGUGAAAUGCGUAGAUAUUGGGAGGACACCAGUGGCGAAGCGGCUUACUGGACGA